GUGCUCACUUAGGCAGCAUAUAUACUAAAACUGGAAUGAUACAAAGAAGGUUAGCAUGACCCCUGUGCAAGGAUGACACGCAAGUUCUCUUUUUUUUUUUUUU
rnacentral:snRNA from 1 species